UACGGAGGGGGCUAGCGUUGUUCGGAAUUACUGGGCGUAAAGCGCGUGUAGGCGGCUUUGCAAGUCGGGUGUGAAAGCCCUCAGCUCAACUGAGGAAGUGCGCCCGAAACUGCAGAGCUUGAGUGCCGGAGAGGAACGCGGAAUUCCAGGUGUAGCGGUGAAAUGCGUAGAUAUCUGGAGGAACACCGGUGGCGAAGGCGGCGUUCUGGACUGCAACUGACACUGUAAAACGAAAGCCAGGGGAGCAAACGGG
rnacentral:rRNA from 1 species